GAUGAACGCUGGCGGCGUGCCUAAUACAUGCAAGUCGAGCGAACAGAUGAGGAGUUUGCUCCUCUGACGUUAUCGGCGGACGGGUGAGUAACACGUGGAUAACCUACCUAUAAGACUGGGAUAACUUCGGGAAACCGGAGCUAAUACCGGAUAAUAUAUUGAACUUCAUGGUUCAAUAGUCAAAUACGGUUUUGCUGUAACUUAUAGAUCGAUCCGCGCCGCAUCAGUUAGUUGGUAAGGUAACGGCUUACCAAGGCUACGAUGCGUAGCCGACCUGAAAGGGACAUCGACCACACGGGAACAGAGGCACAGUCGAGACUCCGACAGGAGGCAACGGUCGAAACUCUUCCGCAAUGCGGGAAUGCCGGACGGAGCGACGCCGCGUAAGGGAUGACGCUGCUAUGCUCGGUGAACUAUGUUAUUAGGAGGAAUGUAAUGUGUUAGUAACGAUGCACAUCUUGACGGUACCUGAUCAAGAAGCCACGGCUAACUACGUG
rnacentral:rRNA from 1 species